ACGUCAUCCCCACCUUCCUCUCUACUUGCGUAGGCAGUCUUACUAGAGUCCUCAACUUAAUGGUAGCAACUAGUAACAGGGGUUGCGCUCGUUGCAGGACUUAACCUAACACCUCACGGCACGAGCUGACGACAACCAUGCAGCACCUUGAAAAUUGCCCGAAGGACGGUCUAUUUCUAAACCCAUCAAUUCCCAUUUAAGCCUUGGUAAGGUUCCUCGCGUAUCAUCGAAUUAAACCACAUAAUCCACCGCUUGUGCGGGCCCCCGUCAAUUCCUUUGAGUUUCAUUCUUGCGAACGUACUCCCCAGGUGGCUAACUUAUCACUUUCGCUUAGUCUCUGAAUCCGAAAACCCAAAAACGAGUUAGCAUCGUUUACGGCGUGGACUACCAGGGUAUCUAA
rnacentral:misc_RNA from 1 species